AAUAGAUACCCCGGUAGUCCUAGCAGUAAACGGUGUGCGUUUGGUGUGACGAAAGUUGUGCCGAAGCUAACGCGAUAAACGCACCGCCUGGGAAGUACGAUCGCAAGAUUAAAACUCAAAGAAAUUGACGGGGACCCGCACAAGCGGUGGAGUAUGUGGCUUAAUUCGAUGCAACGCGAAGAACCUUACCUGGGUUUGACAUGCAUCUCUAAGAUAAUGAAAGUUAUCGAACUUCGGUAAUUUGCACAGGUGCUGCAUGGCUGUCGUCAGCUCGUGUCGUGAGAUGUUGGGUUAAGUCCCGCAACGAGCGCAACCCUCAUGUUCUGUUGCCCUUCGGGGAUCUCUGAACAGACUGCCCAGGUCAACUGGGAGGAAGGUGGGGAUGACGUCAAGUCCGUAUGGCCCUUACACCCAGGGCUGCACACGUACUACAAUGCCCAGCACAAAUGGAACCGACACCGCGAGGUGAAGGAAAUCGAAAAAACUGGGCUCAGUUCGGAUCGUAGGCUGCAAUUCGCCUACGUGAAGUUGG
rnacentral:rRNA from 1 species